UACGUAGGGUGCGAGCGUUAAUCGGAAUUACUGGGCGUAAAGCGUGCGCAGGCGGCUUUGCAAGACAGAUGUGAAAUCCCCGGGCUCAACCUGGGAACUGCAUUUGUGACUGCAAGGCUAGAGUACGGCAGAGGGGGGUGGAAUUCCGCGUGUAGCAGUGAAAUGCGUAGAUAUGCGGAGGAACACCAGUGGCGAAGGCAAUCCCCUGGGCCUGUACUGACGCUCAUGCACGAAAGCGUGGGGAGCAAACAGG
rnacentral:rRNA from 1 species